AUUGAACGCUGGCGGCAGGCCUAACACAUGCAAGUCGAGCGAGCGGCGGACGGGUGAGUAAUGUCUGGGAAACUGCCUGAUGGAGGGGGAUAACUACUGGAAACGGUAGCUAAUACCGCAUACCAUCCGAUGUUCCCAGAUGGGAGUAGCUAGUAGGUGGGGUAACGGCUCACCUAGGCGACGAUCCCUAGCUGGUCUGAGAGGAUGACCAGCCACACUGGAACUGAGACACGGUCUAGACUCCUCCGGGAGGCAGCAGUGGGGGAUAUUGCACAAUGGGCGCAAGACGGAUGCAGCCAUGCCGAGUGAGUGAAGAAGGGCUUCGGGUUGUAAAGCACUUUAAGCGGAGAGGCGUUACCCACAGAAAAAGCGCCGGCUAACUCCGUGACAGCAGCCGCGGUAAUUC
rnacentral:rRNA from 1 species